rnacentral:tRNA from 1 species
GGAGCUGUGGCCAAGCGGUUAAGGCGCCCGGCUCAUAACCGGUAGAUCGAAGGUUCGAAUCCUUCCAGCUCCACCA